AUACGGAGGGUGCAAGCGUUACUCGGAAUCACUGGGCGUAAAGGAUGCGUAGGCCGGAUGUCAAGUUGGAAGUGAAAUCCUAUGGCUUAACCAUAGAACUGCUUCCAAAACUGGCAACCUAGAGUGAGGGAGAGGCAGAUGGAAUUAGUGGUGUAGGGGUAAAAUCCGUAGAUAUCACUAGGAAUACCGAUUGCGAAGGCGAUCUGCUAGAACUCUACUGACGCUAAGGCAUGAAAGCGUGGGGAGCAAACAGGAUUAGAAACCCCGGUAGUCC
rnacentral:rRNA from 1 species